rnacentral:rRNA from 1 species
UACAGAGGUCCCGAGCGUUGUUCGGAUUUACUGGGCGUAAAGAGCGCGCAGGCGGUCGUUCAAGUCGAGUGUGAAAGCCCCCGGCUCAACUGGGGAGGGUCACUCGAUACUGAUCGACUCGAAGGCAGGAGAGGGUAGUGGAAUUCCCGGUGUAGUGGUGAAAUGCGUAGAGAUCCGGAGGAAGACCGGUGGCGAAGGCGGUCUGCUGGGCAGUUUCUGACACUGAUGCGCGACAGCGUGGGGAGCAAACAGG